UACGUAGGUGACAAGCGUUGUUCGGAUUCAUUGGGCGUAAAGGGUGCGUAGGUGGCGCUGUAAGUCGGGUGUGAAAUUUCGGAGCUUAACUCCGAAACUGCAUUCGAUACUGCGGUGCUUGAGGACUGGAGAGGAGACUGGAAUUCAUGGUGUAGCAGUGAAAUGCGUAGAGAUCAUGAGGAAGACCAGUGGCGAAGGCGGGUCUCUGGACAGUUCCUGACACUGAGGCACGAAGGCCAGGGGAGCAAACGGG
rnacentral:rRNA from 1 species